rnacentral:lncRNA from 1 species
UGUCCUGUAAAAAGACUUAUAAUAAUCCUUACUUGAUUUUUAUGCAAUGCAAGCAACUCUUUCUGUCAAGAAGAACCUAAAAUAAGAACCUUUGCAUGCCUUAGUCUAAGAAUAGACUUCCAGUAAGAGAGAUGAUGAACUGUCAACCAGUCCUUGAUAAUCUGCACAAAUGCAUUAGAUCUGUUCAAGAUAGGUUUACAUCCAAUAAAAGAGCAAGAAACCCAUUCCUUACCAAUCCAUCUGCAAUCUUGUUUCCAACGAUCCCAUUAUGCUCUGGCAUCAAACGUUGGAUCCUGUUUCUGGUAGCCAAUCCAAAUGAGAUGAUAGCAUUCCCACAC